rnacentral:snoRNA from 13 species
AAGACUAUACUUUCAGGGAUCAUUUCUAUAGUUCUUGACUUGUGAAAUGUGUUUCUAAAGUGUUAGAUCUCGUAACCCACGAUGAUGAGAUGCGAUAUUCCCUUCUGAGCGCGAAGCGGGCUUUGAGUAAUGAUUCAGUUCAUCCGCUUUCUGCCAUUGAUGACCGUUCUUUGCUUCCUUGUGGAGCAUUGNNNNNNNNNNCUUGUUACCAGCAAGGUAUUGUGGG